rnacentral:rRNA from 1 species
GAUGAACGCUGGCGGCGUGCCUAAUACAUGCAAGUCGAGCGAACAGACGAGGAGCUUGCUCCUCUGACGUUAGCGGCGGACGGGUGAGUAACACGUGGAUAACCUACCUAUAAGACUGGGAUAACUUCGGGAAACCGGAGCUAAUACCGGAUAAUAUAUUGAACCGCAUGGUUCAAUAGUGAAAGACGGUUUUGCUGUCACUUAUAGAUGGAUCCGCGCCGCAUUAGCUAGUUGGUAAGGUAACGGCUUACCAAGGCAACGAUGCGUAGCCGACCUGAGAGGGUGAUAGGCCACACUGGAACUGAGACACGGUCCAGACUCCUACGGGAGGGCGCAGUAGGGAACCUUCCGCAAUGGGCGAAAGCCUGACGGAGCAACGCCGCGUGAGUGAUGAAGGUCUUCGGAUCGUAAAGCUCUGUUAUUAGGGAAGAACAAAUGUGUAAGUAACUAUGCACGUCUUGACGGUACCUAAUCAGAAAGCCACGGCUAACUACGUG